rnacentral:rRNA from 1 species
UUUCGCAAUGCCCGAAAGGGUGACGAAGCGACGCCGCGUGAGUGAGGAAGGCCUUCGGGUUGUAAAGCUCUGUCAGGAGUUAAGAAAUAUAAGUGUGUUAAUACCACAUUUAUUUGACGAAGGCUCCAAAGGAAGCCACGGCUAACUCUGUGCCAGCAGCCGCGGUAAUACAGAGGUGGCAAGCGUUGUUCGGAAUUAUUGGGCGUAAAGAGCACGUAGGUGGGUUUGUAAGUCAGAUGUGAAAGCCUUCUGUUCAACGGAAGAAUUGCAUCUGAAACUGCGAGUCUUGAGUGUAGGAGGGGAGAAUGGGACUUCUGGUGGAGCGGUGAAAUGCGUAGAUAUCAGAAGGAACGCCGGCGGCGAAAGCGAUUCUCUGGCCUAUUACUGACACUCAGUGUGCGAAAGCUAGGGGAGCAAACGGGAUUAGAUACCCCGGUAGUCCUAGCUGUAAACGAUGGGCACUAAGUAGAGGGGUUUUA